GAUGAACGCUGGCGGCGUGCUUAACACAUGCAAGUCGAACGGAAAGGCUCCUGCUUGCAGGGGUACUCGAGUGGCGAACGGGUGAGUAACACGUGGGUGAUCUGCCCUGCACUUCGGGAUAAGCCUGGGAAACUGGGUCUAAUACCGGAUAGGACCAUCGUUUAGUGUCGGUGGUGGAAAGUUUUUUCGGUGUGGGAUGAGCUCGCGGCCUAUCAGCUUGUUGGUGGGGUAUUGGCCUACCAAGGCGUCGACGGGUAGCCGGCCUGAGAGGGUGUACGGCCACAUUGGGACUGAGAUACGGCCCAGACUCCUACGGGAGGCAGCAGUGGGGAAUAUUGCACAAUGGGCGCAAGCCUGAUGCAGCGACGCCGCGUGGGGGAUGACGGCCUUCGGGUUGUAAACUCCUUUCGCCAGGGACGAAGCGAAAGUGGCGGUACCUGGAUAAGAAGCACCGGCUAACUACGUG
rnacentral:rRNA from 1 species